UUAUAGCCCCGAUAGAAGUGGAAAUCCUUUUUUGAGGUUUUUACCGAAAAAAGAUUGCAAUCUCGUCUUUGGACGAGAC
rnacentral:misc_RNA from 1 species